GAAAAGGUCCCCGAAUAGCUUUUUGUCUUUGCCAAGGACAACUCGAAAUCAGCACAACCAUGUCGUAUGUAAUGCACAGACAGGAACAAACUCAGACUGUCCUCCUCGUCAAGUUUAAAGGGAAGCAAGGUCUUGUUUACCGACAGGAACGGCUGGCGGGGCAAGGAAUAUGAUGAGUCUGGGGACCCAUCUUCACAGAGCCAACUGAAGGAUCAAGGCUUACCUGUCUGGGAAGCUGGGGGUAACUAAAUCAUUGCCAUAGUUUCGCUCACCUGCUCACCGAAUGUUACGUAUCCAAGUCAAAACAUAACCAGAAAUCAAGGGAAAAGGGAGAUCAGCUGGUCAGAGAGAACAUCAGAGACGACAUCCCUACUGCAUUUACAUCAGGUCAUAUAAUAAUUUUCUGAUAACCCACACAGCUUCAUUCUUCCAUGAAAUAUGCUGUUCAAAUCAAAGUAAAAACUUAGUGUCUAUGUGCAUUUGCAGUACAGAAAAGGUAGUUUAUGCAAGGUAUUAAUUCAGUAUUAUGACAGAAUUACUGCAAUUUGUGUGAAUGUUGUUUUGAUAAGCACAGAAGACACGCAUCCAAAGGAGACUACCACAGCAGCAUUUCAUGAGCUAGCAAAGUGACAUAAAAUAAACAUGCAAAAUGGUCUCGUGUCAUCUUAGGAGCCAGUUAAUGUACUGUCAUUAACAACACCAGAAAAAAAAAAAAAAAAAAAAAAGGUGUGCUUAAUACCUCGAUGCCUCACUUUAAUUACCUUUGAAAUUUGAUGGGGUUGUAUAAUUUAAAAUUCAUUCAGGUGCCAUUUAGACUGGAGGGAAAAAAACAGUUUUUAUUUAUAAUUAGAAAUUUAUGAGCUGGCUAUAAAUCCGCCACUUAAACUAAAGCAUUUAUGGAAACGCUUUUCCAACUGGUUUGCUCCCAAACCAGUUGGAACUGAUGGUCACCUCUCCAUCACCUGCCAGAGGUGGCUAGCUCUUUGCCUUAAAAUCCCUGCUGGCAGCAAGCACCAGGACAGUCUGAGAGGGGGAAGAUUUCCACGCUAUAAUCAAGCACACUGAAACCUGGAAGUGGCAAACCCUUAAAGCAGUAAGGUAGCAUAAGAAAGACUGGCAGGAAGAUGCAGUGGAAAUGAUGCAGAAAACAAGAAAAUCAUGUUGUAAGAGAAAUAAUAAUUGAAGGAGGCAAGAGGCACGGCGCAACAACCUGGCAGGUCUGGAUCUGUGUUGGCAGGAAGGUGUCAGAAGGCAAAACUGAUGGAGAGAUGUUGCAAGAGUAGGGGCAGUGAAGUGGUUAUUGCUGAUCAGCCCAUGUAAACAGUUUCCUUCCAGCACGUAGCUAAAUUACAAAUGUUCCUGGGGUUAUAAAGAAACAAAACCCAAACUCUGCAAGUUCCCAAAUAAUUCAAAACAAUAAGGAAAACAAAAAUGA